GACGAACGCUGGCGGCGUGCUUAACACAUGCAAGUCGAACGGUAAGGCUCCAGCUUGCUGGGGUACACGAGUGGCGAACGGGUGAGUAACACGUGGGUGACCUGCCCUGCACUUCGGGAUAAGCCUGGGAAACUGGGUCUAAUACCGGAUAGGACCGCACCGUGAGGGUGUGGUGGAAAGUUUUUUCGGUGUGGGAUGGGCCCGCGGCCUAUCAGCUUGUUGGUGGGGUAAUGGCCUACCAAGGCGGCGACGGGUAGCCGGCCUGAGAGGGUGGACGGCCACAUUGGGACUGAGACACGGCCCAGACUCCUACGGGAGGCAGCAGUGGGGAAUAUUGCACAAUGGACGGAAGCCUGAUGCAGCGACGCCGCGUGGGGGAUGACGGCCUUCGGGUUGUAAACUCCUUUCACCAUCGACGAAGGGUUUCUGACGGUAGAUGGAGAAGAAGCACCGGCUAACUACGUG
rnacentral:rRNA from 1 species